rfam:Citrobacter koseri ATCC BAA-895, complete genome.
AAAUUGAAGAGUUUGAUCAUGGCUCAGAUUGAACGCUGGCGGCAGGCCUAACACAUGCAAGUCGAACGGUAACAGGAAGCAGCUUGCUGCUUUGCUGACGAGUGGCGGACGGGUGAGUAAUGUCUGGGAAACUGCCUGAUGGAGGGGGAUAACUACUGGAAACGGUAGCUAAUACCGCAUAACGUCGCAAGACCAAAGAGGGGGACCUUCGGGCCUCUUGCCAUCAGAUGUGCCCAGAUGGGAUUAGCUUGUUGGUGGGGUAACGGCUCACCAAGGCGACGAUCCCUAGCUGGUCUGAGAGGAUGACCAGCCACACUGGAACUGAGACACGGUCCAGACUCCUACGGGAGGCAGCAGUGGGGAAUAUUGCACAAUGGGCGCAAGCCUGAUGCAGCCAUGCCGCGUGUAUGAAGAAGGCCUUCGGGUUGUAAAGUACUUUCAGCGGGGAGGAAGGUGUUGUGGUUAAUAACCACAGCAAUUGACGUUACCCGCAGAAGAAGCACCGGCUAACUCCGUGCCAGCAGCCGCGGUAAUACGGAGGGUGCAAGCGUUAAUCGGAAUUACUGGGCGUAAAGCGCACGCAGGCGGUCUGUUAAGUCAGAUGUGAAAUCCCCGGGCUCAACCUGGGAACUGCAUCUGAUACUGGCAGGCUUGAGUCUCGUAGAGGGGGGUAGAAUUCCAGGUGUAGCGGUGAAAUGCGUAGAGAUCUGGAGGAAUACCGGUGGCGAAGGCGGCCCCCUGGACGAAGACUGACGCUCAGGUGCGAAAGCGUGGGGAGCAAACAGGAUUAGAUACCCUGGUAGUCCACGCCGUAAACGAUGUCGACUUGGAGGUUGUGCCCUUGAGGCGUGGCUUCCGGAGCUAACGCGUUAAGUCGACCGCCUGGGGAGUACGGCCGCAAGGUUAAAACUCAAAUGAAUUGACGGGGGCCCGCACAAGCGGUGGAGCAUGUGGUUUAAUUCGAUGCAACGCGAAGAACCUUACCUGGUCUUGACAUCCACGGAAGUUUUCAGAGAUGAGAAUGUGCCUUCGGGAACCGUGAGACAGGUGCUGCAUGGCUGUCGUCAGCUCGUGUUGUGAAAUGUUGGGUUAAGUCCCGCAACGAGCGCAACCCUUAUCCUUUGUUGCCAGCGGUUAGGCCGGGAACUCAAAGGAGACUGCCAGUGAUAAACUGGAGGAAGGUGGGGAUGACGUCAAGUCAUCAUGGCCCUUACGACCAGGGCUACACACGUGCUACAAUGGCAUAUACAAAGAGAAGCGACCUCGCGAGAGCAAGCGGACCUCAUAAAGUAUGUCGUAGUCCGGAUUGGAGUCUGCAACUCGACUCCAUGAAGUCGGAAUCGCUAGUAAUCGUGGAUCAGAAUGCCACGGUGAAUACGUUCCCGGGCCUUGUACACACCGCCCGUCACACCAUGGGAGUGGGUUGCAAAAGAAGUAGGUAGCUUAACCUUCGGGAGGGCGCUUACCACUUUGUGAUUCAUGACUGGGGUGAAGUCGUAACAAGGUAACCGUAGGGGAACCUGCGGUUGGAUCACCUCCUUA